rnacentral:snoRNA from 1 species
AAGUAAACAUAAGAUGCAAGUGAAAGUAAUCUUACAUGUUGAGAAAAGUAGAAGACCGAUGAAUAUCAAAGCUGCUUU